rnacentral:rRNA from 1 species
UACGAAGGGGACUAGCGUUGUUCGGAAUCACUGGGCGUAAAGCGCACGUAGGCGGAUGUGUCAGUCAGGGGUGAAAUCCCGGGGCUCAACCUCGGAACUGCCUUUGAUACAGCACGUCUCGAGUCCGGAAGAGGUGGGUGGAAUUCCUAGUGUAGAGGUGAAAUUCGUAGAUAUUAGGAAGAACACCGGUGGCGAAGGCGGCCCACUGGUCCGACACUGACGCUGAGGUGCGAAAGCGUGGGGAGCAAACAGG